rnacentral:lncRNA from 1 species
CCCUGCUUGAUGUGAAUUUAAUGCCGACAACAGCAUCAAUAUUGCACCUGCUCUCUUGUAAGCUGAAAAGACGCAGUUAUGCACAGUGAAACAUAAUGGAACAGUUUGCUCUCUUUUGUGGUUUUUGGCGGUUUGUAUACGAUUGGUUCUGUCCACGUAUCGCUUCUCAAUUGCCUCCGGACAGGAUUUUGUCGUACCCGAGUCC